GUGCUCGCUUCGGCAGCACAUGUACUAAAAUAGGAAUGAUACAGAGAAGAUUAGCAUGGCUCCUGCACAAGGAUGACACUGAAAUGCAUGAAGCAUUCCAUAUUUUU
ensembl:snRNA U6 U6 spliceosomal RNA